rnacentral:lncRNA from 1 species
CUUACUUGUUUUUCGUUCAUUAUUUUGUACAUUAAUUAGGCUGUUAGUUUUCUUCUAGUGAUUUCGGGGCCUUUUAUAGCUGAGUAUGUGAAAUGUUGUCUCUUUGACACAUUCCCCAUGUCCUUUCUCAAUUUUAUUAUGCUUAUUGUUGAAGAGCAUAUGGUGAUAUAUGGCUGUUAAUUUCUGCGUCAUUUAGUCUCUUGUGAGAAAUUGUCUCAUUGGCAAUCAUACCACAUCUUCGUUUUAAUAUCAACCCCUGCCAUAUUCUUUAUGAACCUGUCCCAAGUCAGGAGCCUGCAGUUUAGUGGUUGUCGUUGGUUCAUGUCUCAACUCAUUUUAGAUAUUUUUUAAAUUGAUUUGUUAUGUAUAAUUAAACCGUUAGUUUAUUCGUUUAAAUUGUUUCACACUUUUCAUGGACUUUUAUAAACGGCUUAACAGUAUCGGAUUUUGUCAUUAUUGAAGGCCUUACGGUUGCCUGUAAUUGCUUACAUCCACUUCAUAUUUGAACUCCGGUGGAUAGUUGCCAUAUAAUCAAUAAUAACACAUCUCUUCGUUUUUAUAUUAUAUAUAUCUGACGUUUAAUCUCGUUUUUCCUGAAUAUGCAUGAAAUAUGUGUCACUGUGCGUUAAAAAUUAGCAUCAAUUUAAAGUUGUGUUAAAUAAGAGAAAACCAUCUGAUAUUUAAUAACUUCGGUUGGGGUGGGGACAGGAGUAUUUCGUAUAUGAAUAUGGUUGCCUGCUAAGAGUUGAAAAAUAGGCAUGUUUAGCGACAUAUUAAAAUGAUCAAUAAUACCCUCUUUCCUUCUUCAUUCCUCAUCUAAUGAUUUAAACUGACCACUAGCCAAAUCAUGAGUGUUGAAAGUAGAGUUUAACAACAUAAAUCAAAAUUCCUUCCCUAGAAUAUUCAAAUAGUUGGCCCUUAACUGUUAUUGUCCGUGUAGUUCUUAUAUUCAUCUAGCUUAUCAUCCUACAGAGAUGUCCUACUAAGGCUGUCGUACCAUAAAAACAUGUAUAACACAGCUCACAUUCUAAUAUAUCUACAUUCAUAAUAACAUUGAGAAAGGAGAUGGGGAAUGUGUCAAAGCGACAACAACCCGACCAUAGAGCAGACAACAGCCGAAGGCUCAUAAUCUAGUAUAAUAUAAGAGCAUAAACCUUAAGCACGGGGAGGCUCUCUAUUUAUUAUUGUCAUUUCGACUAAACAACGCCAUUUUUGUUUUGUGCCUCUGCGUCUAAACCACCUAUUUAAAGAGGAAGAGGUAGAAGAGAGCCAUGCAGAAGAUCUUCCCAAUGCAAAAAAAAAAAAAAAAAAAAAAAAAAACAACAGAAAUGGACCUUUCUCUGGCUCACAACCAAUUAAGAACAAAAAAAAACACUCCCCUGCUGUGCUGUGGAAUUUUUUACGUGUUAAGUUUAAAUAUUGAAAGUUUUUUUAAUUCUGUCUGUUUAUAUCAAGUAUUUAACGAAUGAUACAACUGAUUUCUAUUCCGCUAUAAAAAGCUUCUUAACAACAGAAACAAGUAAAAUUCUGUGUGUCAGUUCCAUAAUCACUUACAAUAAAUAUAAGACGACAAGGGCUAGGCUGUACUUGAGAGGCUAUGUUAUGUACUUUAAUAUGAAGAAAAACACUUUAUAAUUUACUUUCUAUAAUGAAACUGUU